ACGCUGGCGGCGUGCCUAAUACAUGCAAGUAGAACGCUGAAGAGAGGAGCUUGCUUUUCUUGGAUGAGUUGCGAACGGGUGAGUAACGCGUAGGUAACCUGCCUUGUAGCGGGGGAUAACUAUUGGAAACGAUAGCUAAUACCGCAUAACAAUGGAUGACCCAUGUCAUUUAUUUGAAAGGGGCAAAUGCUCCACUACAAGAUGGACCUGCGUUGUAUUAGCUAGUAGGUGAGGUAACGGCUCACCUAGGCGACGAUACAUAGCCGACCUGAGAGGGUGAUCGGCCACACUGGGACUGAGACACGGCCCAGACUCCUACGGGAGGCAGCAGUAGGGAAUCUUCGGCAAUGGGGGCAACCCUGACCGAGCAACGCCGCGUGAGUGAAGAAGGUUUUCGGAUCGUAAAGCUCUGUUGUAAGUCAAGAACGAGUGUGAGAGUGGAAAGUUCACACUGUGACGGUAGCUUACCAGAAAGGGACGGCUAACUACGUGCCAGCAGCCGCGGUAAUACGUAGGUCCCGAGCGUUGUCCGGAUUUAUUGGGCGUAAAGCGAGCGCAGGCGGUUUGAUAAGUCUGAAGUUAAAGGCUGUGGCUCAACCAUAGUUCGCUUUGGAAACUGUCAAACUUGAGUGCAGAAGGGGAGAGUGGAAUUCCAUGUGUAGCGGUGAAAUGCGUAGAUAUAUGGAGGAACACCGGUGGCGAAAGCGGCUCUCUGGUCUGUAACUGACGCUGAGGCUCGAAAGCGUGGGGAGCGAACAGGAUUAGAUACCCUGGUAGUCCACGCCGUAACGAUGAGUGCUAGGUGUUGGAUCCUUUCCGGGAUUCAGUGCCGCAGCUAACGCAUUAAGCACUCGCCUGGGGAGUACGACCGCAAGGUUGAAACUCAAAGGGAAUUGAC
rnacentral:rRNA from 1 species